rnacentral:rRNA from 1 species
GACAGAGGGUGCAACCGUUGUUCGGAAUUACUGGGCGUAAAGCGCGUGUAGGCGGCUAUGUAAGUCGGGCGUGAAAUCCCACGGCUCAACCGUGGAAGUGCACCCGAAACUGCGUAGCUAGAGUCCUGGAGAGGAAGGUGGAAUGCUUGGUGUAGAGGUGAAAUUCGUAGAUAUCAAGCGGAACACCGGUGGCGAAGGCGGGUCUCUGGGCAGUAACUGACGCUGAGGAGCGAAAGCGUGGGGAGCGAACAGG